rnacentral:SRP_RNA from 1 species
GCUGAGCUUGGUAACGCUUGCUUGUGACCUAAGUUGGGGCAUUAAGGUGUUGGAAAAGUAUAAUAUGUUGUGUGCAAAAAAAAACUUUU